rnacentral:rRNA from 1 species
CAGCCGCCACGGGAAUACAGAGGGUGCGAGCGUUAAUCGGAUUUACUGGGCGUAAAGCGUGCGUAGGCGGCUUCUUAAGUCGGAUGUGAAAUCCCUGAGCUUAACUUAGGAAUUGCAUUCGAUACUGGGAAGCUAGAGUAUGGGAGAGGAUGGUAGAAUUCCAGGUGUAGCGGUGAAAUGCGUAGAGAUCUGGAGGAAUACCGAUGGCGAAGGCAGCCAUCUGGCCUAAUACUGACGCUGAGGUACGAAAGCAUGGGGAGCAAACAGGAUUAGAUACCCCUGUAGUCCCUGUCUCUUAUAA